rnacentral:rRNA from 1 species
UUCUCCUACGGGAGGCAGCAGUGGGGAAUAUUGCACAAUGGGGGAAACCCUGAUGCAGCGACGCCGCGUGAGUGAAGAAGUAUUUCGGUAUGUAAAGCUCUAUCAGCAGGGAAGAAAAUGACGGUACCUGACUAAGAAGCCCCGGCUAACUACGUGCCAGCAGCCGCGGUAAUACGUAGGUGGCAAGCGUUAUCCGGAUUUAUUGGGUGUAAAGGGCGUGUAGGCGGGAACGCAAGUCAGAUGUGAAAACUCAGGGCUCAACCCUGAGCCUGCAUUUGAAACUGUGUUUCUUGAGUGCUGGAGAG